UUCCAAACGGAAGUGAUUUUUCAAAAAUUGAAACGGCGGUACAAACUUCAAAUGGCAACGCAUCAAUCCUGAAAAUUUGAAGCAAAUUGAUCCAGCCAUCUCCGAGAAAUCUUCUGCACAAAAAUCGGUAAGGAGAAAAAAAAAAAUAAUAAUAAUAACUAGUGAUCCUAAUUGUUCGCGAACAAUUAGAGGGCUUCCCACCUUCUAGCGGUUUUUCAGUAGUGUUGAAAUGCUAAAAGCCCCCCCCCCUACCCCACCCCACCCUCACCAAAAAAAAAAAAAAAAAUGGAUUUGGCUAGAAAAGAAAUUCAAAUUUGCCGCCUAAAUUUGAGUGUUGAGGUGUGUUCAAUGCUUGGUUUCGCAUUAAGUACCCGUCAAAUUUGAGGGAGAAAAGGGGUGUGGGUGUUGGGUAGCCAGCACAUAUGCACAUAUCAGGUAAAAGUGUAAUAGGACUUGUGCAGGUGUUUGGGGUGACUUUAGACCUGUUAGAUGUGAUAUUUGGAGGUGCAAAGAAACCGGAUGUGCCAUUUUCCUAGAUUGUAGUAACUGCUGGUGCAUGCUGGGAGUCUAUACAAGCCUCAUGUUGUCAGAUGUUGUGAAGAUGCACUGGAUUUGACCGUGUGUGUUGUGGAUUGUGGAAUUGAAUAUACAGUUUGUAAUGGCUCAUCCUAUGUGUUCUAAUUCACGGAGACAAUGUCUUUCAGUCAUUUCACCCAAGGAGGCAUGCAUAUACGGAUUGAUAGGCUUUGACAACAAACAACCAAAAUGGCGGCCGGUGAAUUAGAAAGUGUCUGAGUGCAUGUAGGAUAUCUGAACGGAGAAUAGGAGUACUGCAUCCCAUCUGAUCCUGCAGGUAAGUGUUUAUUUGUUUACAAUGACAGUCGGGAUGGAAUGUCAAUGAGUUCAACUGUCAAGUAAAGUUGCAUCAUCAUUAUUAAAAAAAAACAACUUAGUCUUUAUGUUGAUGCAGGCAGACAAUUGAAUCUGGCCUAUGUCUUUUCAUGAAUGUAAAUGGAAUUCAUGUUUGAUUGACAAGACAGUCAAGAAAUGGAAGAAGUGGGUGUAGGUCAGAUGUGUAGGUGUAGGUCAGAUUAGCUAGAAUCCUGUAAUUGUUGCAUGGCAUGAGACCGGUCAAAAUAGUGUAUUGAAACAGCUGAUCACAAUCAGAUCACUUGAAGGGUGGGGGAUUUCUUCCUUGGGGACGACAGGCGUGAUGGGUGGGUUGGCCUUACUCGUGGAGACUGGCCCCUGGAUGCGUGACCUUGACCUUUGACCUUGACCCACUUUCAAGGUCAAACCUCAAAAACCCAUGGGGGAGAAAGUGUGACUUUGACCUUGACCUGAUUUUGAAGGUCAGAGAGGUCACGGGGCUUCGUUUAAGUGGUCCCGCAUCCCUAUCUACAUCCGUGAAGAAGUUGUGGGCUCGAACGACGACGUCGGAGACUUUCGGGGGCGAGAACCGUGCUUCGGGGUUCUCGGUUUCCCUCGGUCAACUUUUCUGUGCGAGAGCGUUUCAUCUGGAAUUCGUCGGCGAAGGUCUCGCCUCUCCACGACUUGCGGUCUAGUGAGAGUAGCGAUAACGGGGUUUUCGACGUUAAGUCGCCGCCAUUCGCAGAGUGGUCAAAGUUCAGAGUUGACAUUCGUGAUGCCGAGACCGGUCCAAAAUUCCUUGCUGACCCAUGUGAUAUUUCGAUGCUAUCUGAAGCGUGAAAGAGCGUAUAAAAAGUGCCAUUUUCUGGCCAUUCUGGAUGACCUUGACCUUUGACCUUGACCUACUUUUUCAAGGUCAAGGUCACCCAACCCGUCCCAGUGGGUUCCGUCUCUCUACGACGAAGACUUUAGGAGUCGUCAAUUUGUAGGGGACAAAUCGCAAAACAUGAGGGGGCAUUAACUCCCUUUAGGGGACACCGAAUCCCUUCAUUUGAAAUUCUUCGCUUCUACUAAUUACCCUCUAUGUUUUAGAAAAGGUUUCAUCCUCCUAUCAUUUACGGUUACAAAGUAGAAGUGCUAACAAUGAUUUCUGCGAAAGGUCAAAUAACUCCGUAAGGGGUCAAAGUUCAAUUACGCAGGGUGAACUGUAUUCUUUUCUCAAGAAGUACUAUAUGAUGGACUAUAAAGUUUUUCGAUAAGUCUUAAGACGAAGAUUUUUUUUGACGGCAGGAAAAUAAUAAUAAUAAUAACUAGUGAUCCUAAUUGUUCGCGAACAAUUAGAGGGCUUCCCACCUUCUAGCGGUUUUUCAGUAGUGUUGAAAUGCUAAAAGCCCCCCCCCCUACCCCACCCCACCCUCACCAAAAAAAAAAAAAAAAAUGGAUUUGGCUAGAAAAGAAAUUCAAAUUUGCCGCCUAAAUUUGAGUGUUGAGGUGUGUUCAAUGCUUGGUUUCGCAUUAAGUACCCGUCAAAUUUGAGGGAGAAAAGGGGUGUGGGUGUUGGGUAGCCAGCACAUAUGCACAUAUCAGGUAAAAGUGUAAUAGGACUUGUGCAGGUGUUUGGGGUGACUUUAGACCUGUUAGAUGUGAUAUUUGGAGGUGCAAAGAAACCGGAUGUGCCAUUUUCCUAGAUUGUAGUAACUGCUGGUGCAUGCUGGGAGUCUAUACAAGCCUCAUGUUGUCAGAUGUUGUGAAGAUGCACUGGAUUUGACCGUGUGUGUUGUGGAUUGUGGAAUUGAAUAUACAGUUUGUAAUGGCUCAUCCUAUGUGUUCUAAUUCACGGAGACAAUGUCUUUCAGUCAUUUCACCCAAGGAGGCAUGCAUAUACGGAUUGAUAGGCUUUGACAACAAACAACCAAAAUGGCGGCCGGUGAAUUAGAAAGUGUCUGAGUGCAUGUAGGAUAUCUGAACGGAGAAUAGGAGUACUGCAUCCCAUCUGAUCCUGCAGGUAAGUGUUUAUUUGUUUACAAUGACAGUCGGGAUGGAAUGUCAAUGAGUUCAACUGUCAAGUAAAGUUGCAUCAUCAUUAUUAAAAAAAAACAACUUAGUCUUUAUGUUGAUGCAGGCAGACAAUUGAAUCUGGCCUAUGUCUUUUCAUGAAUGUAAAUGGAAUUCAUGUUUGAUUGACAAGACAGUCAAGAAAUGGAAGAAGUGGGUGUAGGUCAGAUGUGUAGGUGUAGGUCAGAUUAGCUAGAAUCCUGUAAUUGUUGCAUGGCAUGAGACCGGUCAAAAUAGUGUAUUGAAACAGCUGAUCACAAUCAGAUCACUUGAAGGGUGGGGGAUUUCUUCCUUGGGGACGACAGGCGUGAUGGGUGGGUUGGCCUUACUCGUGGAGACUGGCCCCUGGAUGCGUGACCUUGACCUUUGACCUUGACCCACUUUCAAGGUCAAACCUCAAAAACCCAUGGGGGAGAAAGUGUGACUUUGACCUUGACCUGAUUUUGAAGGUCAGAGAGGUCACGGGGCUUCGUUUAAGUGGUCCCGCAUCCCUAUCUACAUCCGUGAAGAAGUUGUGGGCUCGAACGACGACGUCGGAGACUUUCGGGGGCGAGAACCGUGCUUCGGGGUUCUCGGUUUCCCUCGGUCAACUUUUCUGUGCGAGAGCGUUUCAUCUGGAAUUCGUCGGCGAAGGUCUCGCCUCUCCACGACUUGCGGUCUAGUGAGAGUAGCGAUAACGGGGUUUUCGACGUUAAGUCGCCGCCAUUCGCAGAGUGGUCAAAGUUCAGAGUUGACAUUCGUGAUGCCGAGACCGGUCCAAAAUUCCUUGCUGACCCAUGUGAUAUUUCGAUGCUAUCUGAAGCGUGAAAGAGCGUAUAAAAAGUGCCAUUUUCUGGCCAUUCUGGAUGACCUUGACCUUUGACCUUGACCUACUUUUUCAAGGUCAAGGUCACCCAACCCGUCCCAGUGGGUUCCGUCUCUCUACGACGAAGACUUUAGGAGUCGUCAAUUUGUAGGGGACAAAUCGCAAAACAUGAGGGGGCAUUAACUCCCUUUAGGGGACACCGAAUCCCUUCAUUUGAAAUUCUUCGCUUCUACUAAUUACCCUCUAUGUUUUAGAAAAGGUUUCAUCCUCCUAUCAUUUACGGUUACAAAGUAGAAGUGCUAACAAUGAUUUCUGCGAAAGGUCAAAUAACUCCGUAAGGGGUCAAAGUUCAAUUACGCAGGGUGAACUGUAUUCUUUUCUCAAGAAGUACUAUAUGAUGGACUAUAAAGUUUUUCGAUAAGUCUUAAGACGAAGAUUUUUUUUGACGGCAGGAAAAUAAUAAUAAUAAUAACUAGUGAUCCUAAUUGUUCGCGAACAAUUAGAGGGCUUCCCACCUUCUAGCGGUUUUUCAGUAGUGUUGAAAUGCUAAAAGCCCCCCCCCCUACCCCACCCCACCCUCACCAAAAAAAAAAAAAAAAAUGGAUUUGGCUAGAAAAGAAAUUCAAAUUUGCCGCCUAAAUUUGAGUGUUGAGGUGUGUUCAAUGCUUGGUUUCGCAUUAAGUACCCGUCAAAUUUGAGGGAGAAAAGGGGUGUGGGUGUUGGGUAGCCAGCACAUAUGCACAUAUCAGGUAAAAGUGUAAUAGGACUUGUGCAGGUGUUUGGGGUGACUUUAGACCUGUUAGAUGUGAUAUUUGGAGGUGCAAAGAAACCGGAUGUGCCAUUUUCCUAGAUUGUAGUAACUGCUGGUGCAUGCUGGGAGUCUAUACAAGCCUCAUGUUGUCAGAUGUUGUGAAGAUGCACUGGAUUUGACCGUGUGUGUUGUGGAUUGUGGAAUUGAAUAUACAGUUUGUAAUGGCUCAUCCUAUGUGUUCUAAUUCACGGAGACAAUGUCUUUCAGUCAUUUCACCCAAGGAGGCAUGCAUAUACGGAUUGAUAGGCUUUGACAACAAACAACCAAAAUGGCGGCCGGUGAAUUAGAAAGUGUCUGAGUGCAUGUAGGAUAUCUGAACGGAGAAUAGGAGUACUGCAUCCCAUCUGAUCCUGCAGGUAAGUGUUUAUUUGUUUACAAUGACAGUCGGGAUGGAAUGUCAAUGAGUUCAACUGUCAAGUAAAGUUGCAUCAUCAUUAUUAAAAAAAAACAACUUAGUCUUUAUGUUGAUGCAGGCAGACAAUUGAAUCUGGCCUAUGUCUUUUCAUGAAUGUAAAUGGAAUUCAUGUUUGAUUGACAAGACAGUCAAGAAAUGGAAGAAGUGGGUGUAGGUCAGAUGUGUAGGUGUAGGUCAGAUUAGCUAGAAUCCUGUAAUUGUUGCAUGGCAUGAGACCGGUCAAAAUAGUGUAUUGAAACAGCUGAUCACAAUCAGAUCACUUGAAGGGUGGGGGAUUUCUUCCUUGGGGACGACAGGCGUGAUGGGUGGGUUGGCCUUACUCGUGGAGACUGGCCCCUGGAUGCGUGACCUUGACCUUUGACCUUGACCCACUUUCAAGGUCAAACCUCAAAAACCCAUGGGGGAGAAAGUGUGACUUUGACCUUGACCUGAUUUUGAAGGUCAGAGAGGUCACGGGGCUUCGUUUAAGUGGUCCCGCAUCCCUAUCUACAUCCGUGAAGAAGUUGUGGGCUCGAACGACGACGUCGGAGACUUUCGGGGGCGAGAACCGUGCUUCGGGGUUCUCGGUUUCCCUCGGUCAACUUUUCUGUGCGAGAGCGUUUCAUCUGGAAUUCGUCGGCGAAGGUCUCGCCUCUCCACGACUUGCGGUCUAGUGAGAGUAGCGAUAACGGGGUUUUCGACGUUAAGUCGCCGCCAUUCGCAGAGUGGUCAAAGUUCAGAGUUGACAUUCGUGAUGCCGAGACCGGUCCAAAAUUCCUUGCUGACCCAUGUGAUAUUUCGAUGCUAUCUGAAGCGUGAAAGAGCGUAUAAAAAGUGCCAUUUUCUGGCCAUUCUGGAUGACCUUGACCUUUGACCUUGACCUACUUUUUCAAGGUCAAGGUCACCCAACCCGUCCCAGUGGGUUCCGUCUCUCUACGACGAAGACUUUAGGAGUCGUCAAUUUGUAGGGGACAAAUCGCAAAACAUGAGGGGGCAUUAACUCCCUUUAGGGGACACCGAAUCCCUUCAUUUGAAAUUCUUCGCUUCUACUAAUUACCCUCUAUGUUUUAGAAAAGGUUUCAUCCUCCUAUCAUUUACGGUUACAAAGUAGAAGUGCUAACAAUGAUUUCUGCGAAAGGUCAAAUAACUCCGUAAGGGGUCAAAGUUCAAUUACGCAGGGUGAACUGUAUUCUUUUCUCAAGAAGUACUAUAUGAUGGACUAUAAAGUUUUUCGAUAAGUCUUAAGACGAAGAUUUUUUUUGACGGCAGGAAAAUAAUAAUAAUAAUAACUAGUGAUCCUAAUUGUUCGCGAACAAUUAGAGGGCUUCCCACCUUCUAGCGGUUUUUCAGUAGUGUUGAAAUGCUAAAAGCCCCCCCCCCUACCCCACCCCACCCUCACCAAAAAAAAAAAAAAAAAUGGAUUUGGCUAGAAAAGAAAUUCAAAUUUGCCGCCUAAAUUUGAGUGUUGAGGUGUGUUCAAUGCUUGGUUUCGCAUUAAGUACCCGUCAAAUUUGAGGGAGAAAAGGGGUGUGGGUGUUGGGUAGCCAGCACAUAUGCACAUAUCAGGUAAAAGUGUAAUAGGACUUGUGCAGGUGUUUGGGGUGACUUUAGACCUGUUAGAUGUGAUAUUUGGAGGUGCAAAGAAACCGGAUGUGCCAUUUUCCUAGAUUGUAGUAACUGCUGGUGCAUGCUGGGAGUCUAUACAAGCCUCAUGUUGUCAGAUGUUGUGAAGAUGCACUGGAUUUGACCGUGUGUGUUGUGGAUUGUGGAAUUGAAUAUACAGUUUGUAAUGGCUCAUCCUAUGUGUUCUAAUUCACGGAGACAAUGUCUUUCAGUCAUUUCACCCAAGGAGGCAUGCAUAUACGGAUUGAUAGGCUUUGACAACAAACAACCAAAAUGGCGGCCGGUGAAUUAGAAAGUGUCUGAGUGCAUGUAGGAUAUCUGAACGGAGAAUAGGAGUACUGCAUCCCAUCUGAUCCUGCAGGUAAGUGUUUAUUUGUUUACAAUGACAGUCGGGAUGGAAUGUCAAUGAGUUCAACUGUCAAGUAAAGUUGCAUCAUCAUUAUUAAAAAAAAACAACUUAGUCUUUAUGUUGAUGCAGGCAGACAAUUGAAUCUGGCCUAUGUCUUUUCAUGAAUGUAAAUGGAAUUCAUGUUUGAUUGACAAGACAGUCAAGAAAUGGAAGAAGUGGGUGUAGGUCAGAUGUGUAGGUGUAGGUCAGAUUAGCUAGAAUCCUGUAAUUGUUGCAUGGCAUGAGACCGGUCAAAAUAGUGUAUUGAAACAGCUGAUCACAAUCAGAUCACUUGAAGGGUGGGGGAUUUCUUCCUUGGGGACGACAGGCGUGAUGGGUGGGUUGGCCUUACUCGUGGAGACUGGCCCCUGGAUGCGUGACCUUGACCUUUGACCUUGACCCACUUUCAAGGUCAAACCUCAAAAACCCAUGGGGGAGAAAGUGUGACUUUGACCUUGACCUGAUUUUGAAGGUCAGAGAGGUCACGGGGCUUCGUUUAAGUGGUCCCGCAUCCCUAUCUACAUCCGUGAAGAAGUUGUGGGCUCGAACGACGACGUCGGAGACUUUCGGGGGCGAGAACCGUGCUUCGGGGUUCUCGGUUUCCCUCGGUCAACUUUUCUGUGCGAGAGCGUUUCAUCUGGAAUUCGUCGGCGAAGGUCUCGCCUCUCCACGACUUGCGGUCUAGUGAGAGUAGCGAUAACGGGGUUUUCGACGUUAAGUCGCCGCCAUUCGCAGAGUGGUCAAAGUUCAGAGUUGACAUUCGUGAUGCCGAGACCGGUCCAAAAUUCCUUGCUGACCCAUGUGAUAUUUCGAUGCUAUCUGAAGCGUGAAAGAGCGUAUAAAAAGUGCCAUUUUCUGGCCAUUCUGGAUGACCUUGACCUUUGACCUUGACCUACUUUUUCAAGGUCAAGGUCACCCAACCCGUCCCAGUGGGUUCCGUCUCUCUACGACGAAGACUUUAGGAGUCGUCAAUUUGUAGGGGACAAAUCGCAAAACAUGAGGGGGCAUUAACUCCCUUUAGGGGACACCGAAUCCCUUCAUUUGAAAUUCUUCGCUUCUACUAAUUACCCUCUAUGUUUUAGAAAAGGUUUCAUCCUCCUAUCAUUUACGGUUACAAAGUAGAAGUGCUAACAAUGAUUUCUGCGAAAGGUCAAAUAACUCCGUAAGGGGUCAAAGUUCAAUUACGCAGGGUGAACUGUAUUCUUUUCUCAAGAAGUACUAUAUGAUGGACUAUAAAGUUUUUCGAUAAGUCUUAAGACGAAGAUUUUUUUUGACGGCAGGAAAAUAAUAAUAAUAAUAACUAGUGAUCCUAAUUGUUCGCGAACAAUUAGAGGGCUUCCCACCUUCUAGCGGUUUUUCAGUAGUGUUGAAAUGCUAAAAGCCCCCCCCCCUACCCCACCCCACCCUCACCAAAAAAAAAAAAAAAAAUGGAUUUGGCUAGAAAAGAAAUUCAAAUUUGCCGCCUAAAUUUGAGUGUUGAGGUGUGUUCAAUGCUUGGUUUCGCAUUAAGUACCCGUCAAAUUUGAGGGAGAAAAGGGGUGUGGGUGUUGGGUAGCCAGCACAUAUGCACAUAUCAGGUAAAAGUGUAAUAGGACUUGUGCAGGUGUUUGGGGUGACUUUAGACCUGUUAGAUGUGAUAUUUGGAGGUGCAAAGAAACCGGAUGUGCCAUUUUCCUAGAUUGUAGUAACUGCUGGUGCAUGCUGGGAGUCUAUACAAGCCUCAUGUUGUCAGAUGUUGUGAAGAUGCACUGGAUUUGACCGUGUGUGUUGUGGAUUGUGGAAUUGAAUAUACAGUUUGUAAUGGCUCAUCCUAUGUGUUCUAAUUCACGGAGACAAUGUCUUUCAGUCAUUUCACCCAAGGAGGCAUGCAUAUACGGAUUGAUAGGCUUUGACAACAAACAACCAAAAUGGCGGCCGGUGAAUUAGAAAGUGUCUGAGUGCAUGUAGGAUAUCUGAACGGAGAAUAGGAGUACUGCAUCCCAUCUGAUCCUGCAGGUAAGUGUUUAUUUGUUUACAAUGACAGUCGGGAUGGAAUGUCAAUGAGUUCAACUGUCAAGUAAAGUUGCAUCAUCAUUAUUAAAAAAAAACAACUUAGUCUUUAUGUUGAUGCAGGCAGACAAUUGAAUCUGGCCUAUGUCUUUUCAUGAAUGUAAAUGGAAUUCAUGUUUGAUUGACAAGACAGUCAAGAAAUGGAAGAAGUGGGUGUAGGUCAGAUGUGUAGGUGUAGGUCAGAUUAGCUAGAAUCCUGUAAUUGUUGCAUGGCAUGAGACCGGUCAAAAUAGUGUAUUGAAACAGCUGAUCACAAUCAGAUCACUUGAAGGGUGGGGGAUUUCUUCCUUGGGGACGACAGGCGUGAUGGGUGGGUUGGCCUUACUCGUGGAGACUGGCCCCUGGAUGCGUGACCUUGACCUUUGACCUUGACCCACUUUCAAGGUCAAACCUCAAAAACCCAUGGGGGAGAAAGUGUGACUUUGACCUUGACCUGAUUUUGAAGGUCAGAGAGGUCACGGGGCUUCGUUUAAGUGGUCCCGCAUCCCUAUCUACAUCCGUGAAGAAGUUGUGGGCUCGAACGACGACGUCGGAGACUUUCGGGGGCGAGAACCGUGCUUCGGGGUUCUCGGUUUCCCUCGGUCAACUUUUCUGUGCGAGAGCGUUUCAUCUGGAAUUCGUCGGCGAAGGUCUCGCCUCUCCACGACUUGCGGUCUAGUGAGAGUAGCGAUAACGGGGUUUUCGACGUUAAGUCGCCGCCAUUCGCAGAGUGGUCAAAGUUCAGAGUUGACAUUCGUGAUGCCGAGACCGGUCCAAAAUUCCUUGCUGACCCAUGUGAUAUUUCGAUGCUAUCUGAAGCGUGAAAGAGCGUAUAAAAAGUGCCAUUUUCUGGCCAUUCUGGAUGACCUUGACCUUUGACCUUGACCUACUUUUUCAAGGUCAAGGUCACCCAACCCGUCCCAGUGGGUUCCGUCUCUCUACGACGAAGACUUUAGGAGUCGUCAAUUUGUAGGGGACAAAUCGCAAAACAUGAGGGGGCAUUAACUCCCUUUAGGGGACACCGAAUCCCUUCAUUUGAAAUUCUUCGCUUCUACUAAUUACCCUCUAUGUUUUAGAAAAGGUUUCAUCCUCCUAUCAUUUACGGUUACAAAGUAGAAGUGCUAACAAUGAUUUCUGCGAAAGGUCAAAUAACUCCGUAAGGGGUCAAAGUUCAAUUACGCAGGGUGAACUGUAUUCUUUUCUCAAGAAGUACUAUAUGAUGGACUAUAAAGUUUUUCGAUAAGUCUUAAGACGAAGAUUUUUUUUGACGGCAGGAAAAUAAUAAUAAUAAUAACUAGUGAUCCUAAUUGUUCGCGAACAAUUAGAGGGCUUCCCACCUUCUAGCGGUUUUUCAGUAGUGUUGAAAUGCUAAAAGCCCCCCCCCCUACCCCACCCCACCCUCACCAAAAAAAAAAAAAAAAAUGGAUUUGGCUAGAAAAGAAAUUCAAAUUUGCCGCCUAAAUUUGAGUGUUGAGGUGUGUUCAAUGCUUGGUUUCGCAUUAAGUACCCGUCAAAUUUGAGGGAGAAAAGGGGUGUGGGUGUUGGGUAGCCAGCACAUAUGCACAUAUCAGGUAAAAGUGUAAUAGGACUUGUGCAGGUGUUUGGGGUGACUUUAGACCUGUUAGAUGUGAUAUUUGGAGGUGCAAAGAAACCGGAUGUGCCAUUUUCCUAGAUUGUAGUAACUGCUGGUGCAUGCUGGGAGUCUAUACAAGCCUCAUGUUGUCAGAUGUUGUGAAGAUGCACUGGAUUUGACCGUGUGUGUUGUGGAUUGUGGAAUUGAAUAUACAGUUUGUAAUGGCUCAUCCUAUGUGUUCUAAUUCACGGAGACAAUGUCUUUCAGUCAUUUCACCCAAGGAGGCAUGCAUAUACGGAUUGAUAGGCUUUGACAACAAACAACCAAAAUGGCGGCCGGUGAAUUAGAAAGUGUCUGAGUGCAUGUAGGAUAUCUGAACGGAGAAUAGGAGUACUGCAUCCCAUCUGAUCCUGCAGGUAAGUGUUUAUUUGUUUACAAUGACAGUCGGGAUGGAAUGUCAAUGAGUUCAACUGUCAAGUAAAGUUGCAUCAUCAUUAUUAAAAAAAAACAACUUAGUCUUUAUGUUGAUGCAGGCAGACAAUUGAAUCUGGCCUAUGUCUUUUCAUGAAUGUAAAUGGAAUUCAUGUUUGAUUGACAAGACAGUCAAGAAAUGGAAGAAGUGGGUGUAGGUCAGAUGUGUAGGUGUAGGUCAGAUUAGCUAGAAUCCUGUAAUUGUUGCAUGGCAUGAGACCGGUCAAAAUAGUGUAUUGAAACAGCUGAUCACAAUCAGAUCACUUGAAGGGUGGGGGAUUUCUUCCUUGGGGACGACAGGCGUGAUGGGUGGGUUGGCCUUACUCGUGGAGACUGGCCCCUGGAUGCGUGACCUUGACCUUUGACCUUGACCCACUUUCAAGGUCAAACCUCAAAAACCCAUGGGGGAGAAAGUGUGACUUUGACCUUGACCUGAUUUUGAAGGUCAGAGAGGUCACGGGGCUUCGUUUAAGUGGUCCCGCAUCCCUAUCUACAUCCGUGAAGAAGUUGUGGGCUCGAACGACGACGUCGGAGACUUUCGGGGGCGAGAACCGUGCUUCGGGGUUCUCGGUUUCCCUCGGUCAACUUUUCUGUGCGAGAGCGUUUCAUCUGGAAUUCGUCGGCGAAGGUCUCGCCUCUCCACGACUUGCGGUCUAGUGAGAGUAGCGAUAACGGGGUUUUCGACGUUAAGUCGCCGCCAUUCGCAGAGUGGUCAAAGUUCAGAGUUGACAUUCGUGAUGCCGAGACCGGUCCAAAAUUCCUUGCUGACCCAUGUGAUAUUUCGAUGCUAUCUGAAGCGUGAAAGAGCGUAUAAAAAGUGCCAUUUUCUGGCCAUUCUGGAUGACCUUGACCUUUGACCUUGACCUACUUUUUCAAGGUCAAGGUCACCCAACCCGUCCCAGUGGGUUCCGUCUCUCUACGACGAAGACUUUAGGAGUCGUCAAUUUGUAGGGGACAAAUCGCAAAACAUGAGGGGGCAUUAACUCCCUUUAGGGGACACCGAAUCCCUUCAUUUGAAAUUCUUCGCUUCUACUAAUUACCCUCUAUGUUUUAGAAAAGGUUUCAUCCUCCUAUCAUUUACGGUUACAAAGUAGAAGUGCUAACAAUGAUUUCUGCGAAAGGUCAAAUAACUCCGUAAGGGGUCAAAGUUCAAUUACGCAGGGUGAACUGUAUUCUUUUCUCAAGAAGUACUAUAUGAUGGACUAUAAAGUUUUUCGAUAAGUCUUAAGACGAAGAUUUUUUUUGACGGCAGGAAAAUAAUAAUAAUAAUAACUAGUGAUCCUAAUUGUUCGCGAACAAUUAGAGGGCUUCCCACCUUCUAGCGGUUUUUCAGUAGUGUUGAAAUGCUAAAAGCCCCCCCCCCUACCCCACCCCACCCUCACCAAAAAAAAAAAAAAAAAUGGAUUUGGCUAGAAAAGAAAUUCAAAUUUGCCGCCUAAAUUUGAGUGUUGAGGUGUGUUCAAUGCUUGGUUUCGCAUUAAGUACCCGUCAAAUUUGAGGGAGAAAAGGGGUGUGGGUGUUGGGUAGCCAGCACAUAUGCACAUAUCAGGUAAAAGUGUAAUAGGACUUGUGCAGGUGUUUGGGGUGACUUUAGACCUGUUAGAUGUGAUAUUUGGAGGUGCAAAGAAACCGGAUGUGCCAUUUUCCUAGAUUGUAGUAACUGCUGGUGCAUGCUGGGAGUCUAUACAAGCCUCAUGUUGUCAGAUGUUGUGAAGAUGCACUGGAUUUGACCGUGUGUGUUGUGGAUUGUGGAAUUGAAUAUACAGUUUGUAAUGGCUCAUCCUAUGUGUUCUAAUUCACGGAGACAAUGUCUUUCAGUCAUUUCACCCAAGGAGGCAUGCAUAUACGGAUUGAUAGGCUUUGACAACAAACAACCAAAAUGGCGGCCGGUGAAUUAGAAAGUGUCUGAGUGCAUGUAGGAUAUCUGAACGGAGAAUAGGAGUACUGCAUCCCAUCUGAUCCUGCAGGUAAGUGUUUAUUUGUUUACAAUGACAGUCGGGAUGGAAUGUCAAUGAGUUCAACUGUCAAGUAAAGUUGCAUCAUCAUUAUUAAAAAAAAACAACUUAGUCUUUAUGUUGAUGCAGGCAGACAAUUGAAUCUGGCCUAUGUCUUUUCAUGAAUGUAAAUGGAAUUCAUGUUUGAUUGACAAGACAGUCAAGAAAUGGAAGAAGUGGGUGUAGGUCAGAUGUGUAGGUGUAGGUCAGAUUAGCUAGAAUCCUGUAAUUGUUGCAUGGCAUGAGACCGGUCAAAAUAGUGUAUUGAAACAGCUGAUCACAAUCAGAUCACUUGAAGGGUGGGGGAUUUCUUCCUUGGGGACGACAGGCGUGAUGGGUGGGUUGGCCUUACUCGUGGAGACUGGCCCCUGGAUGCGUGACCUUGACCUUUGACCUUGACCCACUUUCAAGGUCAAACCUCAAAAACCCAUGGGGGAGAAAGUGUGACUUUGACCUUGACCUGAUUUUGAAGGUCAGAGAGGUCACGGGGCUUCGUUUAAGUGGUCCCGCAUCCCUAUCUACAUCCGUGAAGAAGUUGUGGGCUCGAACGACGACGUCGGAGACUUUCGGGGGCGAGAACCGUGCUUCGGGGUUCUCGGUUUCCCUCGGUCAACUUUUCUGUGCGAGAGCGUUUCAUCUGGAAUUCGUCGGCGAAGGUCUCGCCUCUCCACGACUUGCGGUCUAGUGAGAGUAGCGAUAACGGGGUUUUCGACGUUAAGUCGCCGCCAUUCGCAGAGUGGUCAAAGUUCAGAGUUGACAUUCGUGAUGCCGAGACCGGUCCAAAAUUCCUUGCUGACCCAUGUGAUAUUUCGAUGCUAUCUGAAGCGUGAAAGAGCGUAUAAAAAGUGCCAUUUUCUGGCCAUUCUGGAUGACCUUGACCUUUGACCUUGACCUACUUUUUCAAGGUCAAGGUCACCCAACCCGUCCCAGUGGGUUCCGUCUCUCUACGACGAAGACUUUAGGAGUCGUCAAUUUGUAGGGGACAAAUCGCAAAACAUGAGGGGGCAUUAACUCCCUUUAGGGGACACCGAAUCCCUUCAUUUGAAAUUCUUCGCUUCUACUAAUUACCCUCUAUGUUUUAGAAAAGGUUUCAUCCUCCUAUCAUUUACGGUUACAAAGUAGAAGUGCUAACAAUGAUUUCUGCGAAAGGUCAAAUAACUCCGUAAGGGGUCAAAGUUCAAUUACGCAGGGUGAACUGUAUUCUUUUCUCAAGAAGUACUAUAUGAUGGACUAUAAAGUUUUUCGAUAAGUCUUAAGACGAAGAUUUUUUUUGACGGCAGGAAAAUAAUAAUAAUAAUAACUAGUGAUCCUAAUUGUUCGCGAACAAUUAGAGGGCUUCCCACCUUCUAGCGGUUUUUCAGUAGUGUUGAAAUGCUAAAAGCCCCCCCCCCUACCCCACCCCACCCUCACCAAAAAAAAAAAAAAAAAUGGAUUUGGCUAGAAAAGAAAUUCAAAUUUGCCGCCUAAAUUUGAGUGUUGAGGUGUGUUCAAUGCUUGGUUUCGCAUUAAGUACCCGUCAAAUUUGAGGGAGAAAAGGGGUGUGGGUGUUGGGUAGCCAGCACAUAUGCACAUAUCAGGUAAAAGUGUAAUAGGACUUGUGCAGGUGUUUGGGGUGACUUUAGACCUGUUAGAUGUGAUAUUUGGAGGUGCAAAGAAACCGGAUGUGCCAUUUUCCUAGAUUGUAGUAACUGCUGGUGCAUGCUGGGAGUCUAUACAAGCCUCAUGUUGUCAGAUGUUGUGAAGAUGCACUGGAUUUGACCGUGUGUGUUGUGGAUUGUGGAAUUGAAUAUACAGUUUGUAAUGGCUCAUCCUAUGUGUUCUAAUUCACGGAGACAAUGUCUUUCAGUCAUUUCACCCAAGGAGGCAUGCAUAUACGGAUUGAUAGGCUUUGACAACAAACAACCAAAAUGGCGGCCGGUGAAUUAGAAAGUGUCUGAGUGCAUGUAGGAUAUCUGAACGGAGAAUAGGAGUACUGCAUCCCAUCUGAUCCUGCAGUCAUUUCACCCAAGGAGGCAUGCAUAUACGGAUUGAUAGGCUUUGACAACAAACAACCAAAAUGGCGGCCGGUGAAUUAGAAAGUGUCUGAGUGCAUGUAGGAUAUCUGAACGGAGAAUAGGAGUACUGCAUCCCAUCUGAUCCUGCAGGUAAGUGUUUAUUUGUUUACAAUGACAGUCGGGAUGGAAUGUCAAUGAGUUCAACUGUCAAGUAAAGUUGCAUCAUCAUUAUUAAAAAAAAACAACUUAGUCUUUAUGUUGAUGCAGGCAGACAAUUGAAUCUGGCCUAUGUCUUUUCAUGAAUGUAAAUGGAAUUCAUGUUUGAUUGACAAGACAGUCAAGAAAUGGAAGAAGUGGGUGUAGGUCAGAUGUGUAGGUGUAGGUCAGAUUAGCUAGAAUCCUGUAAUUGUUGCAUGGCAUGAGACCGGUCAAAAUAGUGUAUUGAAACAGCUGAUCACAAUCAGAUCACUUGAAGGGUGGGGGAUUUCUUCCUUGGGGACGACAGGCGUGAUGGGUGGGUUGGCCUUACUCGUGGAGACUGGCCCCUGGAUGCGUGACCUUGACCUUUGACCUUGACCCACUUUCAAGGUCAAACCUCAAAAACCCAUGGGGGAGAAAGUGUGACUUUGACCUUGACCUGAUUUUGAAGGUCAGAGAGGUCACGGGGCUUCGUUUAAGUGGUCCCGCAUCCCUAUCUACAUCCGUGAAGAAGUUGUGGGCUCGAACGACGACGUCGGAGACUUUCGGGGGCGAGAACCGUGCUUCGGGGUUCUCGGUUUCCCUCGGUCAACUUUUCUGUGCGAGAGCGUUUCAUCUGGAAUUCGUCGGCGAAGGUCUCGCCUCUCCACGACUUGCGGUCUAGUGAGAGUAGCGAUAACGGGGUUUUCGACGUUAAGUCGCCGCCAUUCGCAGAGUGGUCAAAGUUCAGAGUUGACAUUCGUGAUGCCGAGACCGGUCCAAAAUUCCUUGCUGACCCAUGUGAUAUUUCGAUGCUAUCUGAAGCGUGAAAGAGCGUAUAAAAAGUGCCAUUUUCUGGCCAUUCUGGAUGACCUUGACCUUUGACCUUGACCUACUUUUUCAAGGUCAAGGUCACCCAACCCGUCCCAGUGGGUUCCGUCUCUCUACGACGAAGACUUUAGGAGUCGUCAAUUUGUAGGGGACAAAUCGCAAAACAUGAGGGGGCAUUAACUCCCUUUAGGGGACACCGAAUCCCUUCAUUUGAAAUUCUUCGCUUCUACUAAUUACCCUCUAUGUUUUAGAAAAGGUUUCAUCCUCCUAUCAUUUACGGUUACAAAGUAGAAGUGCUAACAAUGAUUUCUGCGAAAGGUCAAAUAACUCCGUAAGGGGUCAAAGUUCAAUUACGCAGGGUGAACUGUAUUCUUUUCUCAAGAAGUACUAUAUGAUGGACUAUAAAGUUUUUCGAUAAGUCUUAAGACGAAGAUUUUUUUUGACGGCAGGAAAAUAAUAAUAAUAAUAACUAGUGAUCCUAAUUGUUCGCGAACAAUUAGAGGGCUUCCCACCUUCUAGCGGUUUUUCAGUAGUGUUGAAAUGCUAAAAGCCCCCCCCCCUACCCCACCCCACCCUCACCAAAAAAAAAAAAAAAAAUGGAUUUGGCUAGAAAAGAAAUUCAAAUUUGCCGCCUAAAUUUGAGUGUUGAGGUGUGUUCAAUGCUUGGUUUCGCAUUAAGUACCCGUCAAAUUUGAGGGAGAAAAGGGGUGUGGGUGUUGGGUAGCCAGCACAUAUGCACAUAUCAGGUAAAAGUGUAAUAGGACUUGUGCAGGUGUUUGGGGUGACUUUAGACCUGUUAGAUGUGAUAUUUGGAGGUGCAAAGAAACCGGAUGUGCCAUUUUCCUAGAUUGUAGUAACUGCUGGUGCAUGCUGGGAGUCUAUACAAGCCUCAUGUUGUCAGAUGUUGUGAAGAUGCACUGGAUUUGACCGUGUGUGUUGUGGAUUGUGGAAUUGAAUAUACAGUUUGUAAUGGCUCAUCCUAUGUGUUCUAAUUCACGGAGACAAUGUCUUUCAGUCAUUUCACCCAAGGAGGCAUGCAUAUACGGAUUGAUAGGCUUUGACAACAAACAACCAAAAUGGCGGCCGGUGAAUUAGAAAGUGUCUGAGUGCAUGUAGGAUAUCUGAACGGAGAAUAGGAGUACUGCAUCCCAUCUGAUCCUGCAGGUAAGUGUUUAUUUGUUUACAAUGACAGUCGGGAUGGAAUGUCAAUGAGUUCAACUGUCAAGUAAAGUUGCAUCAUCAUUAUUAAAAAAAAACAACUUAGUCUUUAUGUUGAUGCAGGCAGACAAUUGAAUCUGGCCUAUGUCUUUUCAUGAAUGUAAAUGGAAUUCAUGUUUGAUUGACAAGACAGUCAAGAAAUGGAAGAAGUGGGUGUAGGUCAGAUGUGUAGGUGUAGGUCAGAUUAGCUAGAAUCCUGUAAUUGUUGCAUGGCAUGAGACCGGUCAAAAUAGUGUAUUGAAACAGCUGAUCACAAUCAGAUCACUUGAAGGGUGGGGGAUUUCUUCCUUGGGGACGACAGGCGUGAUGGGUGGGUUGGCCUUACUCGUGGAGACUGGCCCCUGGAUGCGUGACCUUGACCUUUGACCUUGACCCACUUUCAAGGUCAAACCUCAAAAACCCAUGGGGGAGAAAGUGUGACUUUGACCUUGACCUGAUUUUGAAGGUCAGAGAGGUCACGGGGCUUCGUUUAAGUGGUCCCGCAUCCCUAUCUACAUCCGUGAAGAAGUUGUGGGCUCGAACGACGACGUCGGAGACUUUCGGGGGCGAGAACCGUGCUUCGGGGUUCUCGGUUUCCCUCGGUCAACUUUUCUGUGCGAGAGCGUUUCAUCUGGAAUUCGUCGGCGAAGGUCUCGCCUCUCCACGACUUGCGGUCUAGUGAGAGUAGCGAUAACGGGGUUUUCGACGUUAAGUCGCCGCCAUUCGCAGAGUGGUCAAAGUUCAGAGUUGACAUUCGUGAUGCCGAGACCGGUCCAAAAUUCCUUGCUGACCCAUGUGAUAUUUCGAUGCUAUCUGAAGCGUGAAAGAGCGUAUAAAAAGUGCCAUUUUCUGGCCAUUCUGGAUGACCUUGACCUUUGACCUUGACCUACUUUUUCAAGGUCAAGGUCACCCAACCCGUCCCAGUGGGUUCCGUCUCUCUACGACGAAGACUUUAGGAGUCGUCAAUUUGUAGGGGACAAAUCGCAAAACAUGAGGGGGCAUUAACUCCCUUUAGGGGACACCGAAUCCCUUCAUUUGAAAUUCUUCGCUUCUACUAAUUACCCUCUAUGUUUUAGAAAAGGUUUCAUCCUCCUAUCAUUUACGGUUACAAAGUAGAAGUGCUAACAAUGAUUUCUGCGAAAGGUCAAAUAACUCCGUAAGGGGUCAAAGUUCAAUUACGCAGGGUGAACUGUAUUCUUUUCUCAAGAAGUACUAUAUGAUGGACUAUAAAGUUUUUCGAUAAGUCUUAAGACGAAGAUUUUUUUUGACGGCAGGAAAAUAAUAAUAAUAAUAACUAGUGAUCCUAAUUGUUCGCGAACAAUUAGAGGGCUUCCCACCUUCUAGCGGUUUUUCAGUAGUGUUGAAAUGCUAAAAGCCCCCCCCCCUACCCCACCCCACCCUCACCAAAAAAAAAAAAAAAAAUGGAUUUGGCUAGAAAAGAAAUUCAAAUUUGCCGCCUAAAUUUGAGUGUUGAGGUGUGUUCAAUGCUUGGUUUCGCAUUAAGUACCCGUCAAAUUUGAGGGAGAAAAGGGGUGUGGGUGUUGGGUAGCCAGCACAUAUGCACAUAUCAGGUAAAAGUGUAAUAGGACUUGUGCAGGUGUUUGGGGUGACUUUAGACCUGUUAGAUGUGAUAUUUGGAGGUGCAAAGAAACCGGAUGUGCCAUUUUCCUAGAUUGUAGUAACUGCUGGUGCAUGCUGGGAGUCUACAAGCCUCAUGUUGUCAGAUGUUGUGAAGAUGCACUGGAUUUUACCGUGUGUGUUGUGGAUUGUGGAAUUAAAUAUACAGUUUGUAAUGGCUCAUCCUAUGUGUUCUAAUUCACGGAGACAAUGUCUUUCAGUCAUUUCACCCAAGGAGGCAUGCAUAUACGGAUUGAUAGGCUUUGACAACAAACAACCAAAAUGGCGGCCGGUGAAUUAGAAAGUGUCUGAGUGCAUGUAGGAUAUCUGAACGGAGAAUAGGAGUACUGCAUCCCAUCUGAUCCUGCAGGUAAGUGUUUAUUUGUUUACAAUGACAGUCGGGAUGGAAUGUCAAUGAGUUCAACUGUCGAGUAAAGUUGCAUCAUCAUUAUAAAAAAAAAACAACUUAGUCUUUAUGUUGAUGCAGGCAGACAAUUGAAUCUGGCCUAUGUCUUUUCAUGAAUGUAAAUGGAAUUCAUGUUUGAUUGACAAGACAGUCAAGAAAUGGAAGAAGUGGGUGUAGGUCAGAUGUGUAGGUGUAGGUCAGAUUAGCUAGAAUCCUGUAAUUGUUGCAUGGCAUGAGACCGGUCAAAAUAGUGUAUUGAAACAGCUGAUCACAAUCAGAUCACUUGAAGGGUGGGGGAUUUCUUCCUUGGGGACGACAGGCGUGAUGGGUGGGUUGGCCUUACUCGUGGAGACUGGCCCCUGGAUGCGUGACCUUGACCUUUGACCUUGACCCACUUUCAAGGUCAAACCUCAAAAAUCCUGUUGUUGGGCAUGAAACCGGUCAAAAUAGUGUAUUAUAAACAGCUGAUGACAGACAGAUCACUUGAAGGGUGGGGGGUUUCUUCCUUGGGGACGACAGGCGUGAUGGGUGGGUUGGCCUUACUCGUGGAGACUGGCCCCUGGAUGCGUGACCUUGACCUUUGACCUUGACCCACUUUCAAGGUCAAACCUCAAAAACCCAUGGGGGGAGAAAGUGUGACCUUGACCUUUGACCUUGACCUGAUUUUGAAGGUCAGAGAGGUCACGGGGCUUCGUUUAAGUGGUCCCGCAUCCCUAUCUACAUCCGUGAAGAAGUUGUGGGCUCGAACGACGACGUCGGAGACUUUCGGGGGCGAGAACCGUGCUUCGGGGUUCUCGGUUUCCCCCGGUCAACUUCUCUGUGCGAGAGUGUUUCAUCUGGAAUUCGUCGGCGAAGGUCUCGCCUCUCCACGACUUGCGGUCUAGUGGGAGUAGCGAUAACGGGGUUUUCGACGUUAAGUCGCCGCCUUUCGCAGAGCGGUCAAAGUUCAGAGUUGUAAUUCAGGAUUCCGAGACCGGUCCAGAAUUCCAUGCUGACCCAUGUGAUAUUUCGAUGCUAUCUGAAGCGGGAAAGAGCGUAUAAAAAGUGCCAUUUUCUGGCCAUUCUGGAUGACCUUGACCUUUGACCUUGACCUACUUUUUCAAGGUCAAGGUCACCCAACCCGUCCCAGUGGGUUCCGUCUCUCUACGACGAAGACUUUAGGAGUCGUCAAUUUGUAGGGGACAAAUCGCAAAACAUGAGGGGGCAUUAACUCCCUUUAGGGGACACCGAAUCCCUUCAUUUGAAAUUCUUCGCUUCUACUCAUUGACCUCUAUGCUUCAGCAAAGGUUUCAUCCUCCUAUCCUUUACGGUUAAAAAGGAGUAGCGAUAACAAUGAUUUCUGCUAACAGGUCCGAUAACUCUGUAAGGGGUCAAAGUUCCAUGACGCAGGGUGAAAUGUAUUCGUUUCUCAAGAAGUGUUCUAGGAUGGACUCUAAAGUUUUUCGAUAAGUCUUAAGACGAAAAUUUUUUUUGACGGCAGGAAAA